UGAAUUUCCUGCCUCGGUUUUUUAAAUAUGCACUUUAAUAUAACUUUCUCCCAAUUAAAGCGACCGGCAACUUCGUGAUUGACAACUAGCGCAUCUCUAACUCACCAACCAGAGAGGCUAGAGUUGUUCCCUCUCCCACACAAACUAUUACCAGUGGGUGUUUGUGGCCCAAUUAAAGCGCUAAUGAGUAUUGUUUUUAUUUAAUUUACAGUCGGGUAAAGCCAAUCAAUCAAUCAAUCGCGGUUAAAACCAGAGAGCGGUUCCAGCGACAGCCCUGGCACGGCCGAAUGCAACGCUGCGUCUGUCUGGCUCCCCACACCACAACGCCCCACACCCACCCACACACUGCCACAGUGCAAAUAAUUUUGGGUCGCUGCAAUUAUGUGGAAAUGCGAAAUGGAGACGAGAAUGUGCGCCAAUUUCACCGCUGCCGGCGCCAACCUCGACCCAAAAUUGCAGCCGACGACGCCGAGAAUCGAGCGGUUUGGCCAGUGAACCGCACCGCGAGACCAAGACCAAACCAAACCCAAAUUACGCGAAAUGCAAAUGCAAAUGCAACUUACUUGCAGCCAGCGGCUUUGGAUGCGUCGCAAGCAAUACAAAGAGACGCGGUAAUUGGCAUUCGCAGGGAGUGCGCGCAAGAAGAAGCAUUGGAUUUCGCGAAACAACAGCUGACAACGGCGUGCAACAUUUUGGACGAACUUUUAGAAGUUCGGUCACACUCGAAAGAUUCUAUUUGUUCGCUAUGCAAAUGUGUUUCCCGAUCUUUGUAUAAGUUUUUUAAACAAAUAGUGGCUUAUGUCGCCAUCCCUCGGUAAUCGAGCAAUCGGGGAAACCAGGAAUACAUGAUGAGGUCUGUGGAGCAGUGUUGAGAAACACUUGUUGUGGAGGCGGGCGGAGAGAUUCGAAUUCAAACUGGACGCAAGGCCUAAAAUGUGAAAUAGCGGUCAUAAAAAGCCCGCGAUUCUCAUCCGCUGGCAUUUCGGGAAACUAAGAAGAUGGAUUGGGCGCACUUCAACAGCGCACACUCAACCAGAUGAGACUGCGCUAUUUCCGAAUGCGCCAGGUCGAGGAGGAUGCCCAGGACUACUUGCCGUACGUGGACAACACCGAAAGGCCGGACUGACUGGGAGCACCUUGGGUCUCCAUUGGGGUCAGGAAAUAGUUGAAGAGCCAGCCUGGGAUCGUCCCAGCUUUCACAUUGGCUCUCCAUGUGACCUCCGGAGAAUAAGAACUGAUGGAUUCCAUCUGCGGGGCAAGUAACCUCUUCUCCGCUUCCGAUUAUUGUUCUUCUGUUACUCUUUGUGUCCAAGGCAGAAAUAAACCCCAUACGUACGAGAAAAGGUCCUUCAACCUGAGGAAAGCCUUCUCCAUCGCACUGCCCCUGCGAUUUCUGUUUGUUUGUGUGCUUUUGUGGGCAUCUAAUCAUAUUCCGAGUCCGACUCACCACGGAGCUUGCAGAGUCGAGAAUUACGAAGGGUUAGCGCACCGAUGCG